rnacentral:snRNA from 1 species
UAACAUCUAACAUAGCUGAUAUGUCCUUCAUCGGAGGUCUAUAUUGAGCAGAUUCUUUUUGGUGUUGGGUGGUGGAACCGGAGCUUGCUCCAUCCACUCCAUGCAUUGACCUGGUAUUACAGUGCUUCCAGGACCGGUGC